GCAGUCGAGCGAACUGAUUAGAAGCUUGCUUCUAUGACGUUAGCGGCGGACGGGUGAGUAACACGUGGGCAACCUGCCUGUAAGACUGGGAUAACUUCGGGAAACCGAAGCUAAUACCGGAUAGGAUCUUCUCCUUCAUGGGAGAUGAUUGAAAGAUGGUUUCGGCUAUCACUUACAGAUGGGCCCGCGGUGCAUUAGCUAGUUGGUGAGGUAACGGCUCACCAAGGCAACGAUGCAUAGCCGACCUGAGAGGGUGAUCGGCCACACUGGGACUGAGACACGGCCCAGACUCCUACGGGAGGCAGCAGUAGGGAAUCUUCCGCAAUGGACGAAAGUCUGACGGAGCAACGCCGCGUGAGUGAUGAAGGCUUUCGGGUCGUAAAACUCUGUUGUUAGGGAAGAACAAGUACAAGAGUAACUGCUCGUACCUUGACGGUACCUAACCAGAAAGCCACGGCUAACUACGUGCCAGCAGCCGCGGUAAUACGUAGGUGGCAAGCGUUAUCCGGAAUUAUUGGGCGUAAAGCGCGCGCAGGCGGUUUCUUAAGUCUGAUGUGAAAGCCCACGGCUCAACCGUGGAGGGUCAUUGGAAACUGGGGAACUUGAGUGCAGAAGAGAAAAGCGGAAUUCCACGUGUAGCGGUGAAAUGCGUAGAGAUGUGGAGGAACACCAGUGGCGAAGGCGGCUUUUUGGUCUGUAACUGACGCUGAGGCGCGAAAGCGUGGGGAGCAAACAGGAUUA
rnacentral:rRNA from 1 species